AUUGAACGCUGGCGGCAGGCCUAACACAUGCAAGUCGAGCGGAUGAAGGGAGCUUGCUCCUGGAUUCAGCGGCGGACGGGUGAGUAAUGCCUAGGAAUCUGCCUGGUAGUGGGGGAUAACGUCCGGAAACGGGCGCUAAUACCGCAUACGUCCUGAGGGAGAAAGUGGGGGAUCUUCGGACCUCACGCUAUCAGAUGAGCCUAGGUCGGAUUAGCUAGUUGGUGGGGUAAAGGCCUACCAAGGCGACGAUCCGUAACUGGUCUGAGAGGAUGAUCAGUCACAGGGGGAAGGAGGUACGGCCCAGACGCAUAGGGGAGGAAUCAGUGGGGAAGAGUGCAAAAUGGGAGGAAGGGUGAUGCAGCAACGCCUUGUGCGGGAUGACGGCCUGCGGCUUGAAAACCGUUUGCGCCUGGGACGAAGCGGGAGGGAGGGGAAUGGGUAAAGAAGAAAGGGCUAACUACGGG
rnacentral:rRNA from 1 species